AAAAAAAAAAAAAAAAAAGAACCUGAGGGUGGAGGCAGGGUUGUGAUCCACUGUGUACCUUUGGGCAAACUGCUUACGCAUCUGUGUACAGUGGUGACAAGGAUUUAGCCAUAUCUACUCAGUUGCCUGGGCUCUCUCUCCCAUUCUCUCCCUCCUUUCCCUCUCUCCACUUUCCUUAUUCCUUUCCUACCUUUUUUGACCCAGGUAUUCAGGAUUUCAUGUACUUAGACUGGCCUUGAACUUGCAGAAUAGCUGAGAAGACCUUGAACUCCUGAAUCUCUGCCUUUUACUGGGAUUACAGGUGUCAUCACACCCUUUUCAUGCUACUGGAGGUCAACCCCAGUGCUUCAUGCAUUGCAUAUUAAAUCUGGGUGUGUGUGGCGCCUAAAUGAAGCACUCUGCAUUCCGCCCCCUCCUGGAGGCACACAGUACUGCAGCCAGAAAUAUUAGGUAAAGUACUUUAGCCUUUCGGCCAAUCAUGUUAUACACCCCAGUGUCCACGGAGGGUCCUAGGUGUGUGGCUGUCAAAGAGUCCUUGAAUACAGAGGAUUCAGGGCCUAGUGAAGGGAAGGAAGAGAGCCGCCCUCGCCCUGAGCUGUGCUCAGGUAUCCACAGGGCAUGGUGUUGGCAGUAACUCUCAGACAGUGGACCCCAUAUUUGGUCUGGUGCCUGGAACCUUGGGCCUAGAGAUCCCAACUCCUCCUUGAUGUCUCUUCAUGUGCUGGCCUAGGAGCCCUCUCCUGGUCCUCUCUGUGGCUUAGUGACACAGGACACACUGGGUGAUGGUUCACCAAUCACUCCCUGUCAAACCUUAUUUCUAAGGAAGACAUCUGAAAGGGACCAGUGUCUCUGCCUUCUCCUGCUCUGAUCUUCCUGUCUCCACCUCCUGAGUAUUAGAAUUACAGGCCAGCAUGUGCCACCAUGUUUAUGUCAUGCUUGGCACUGAAACCAGAGCCUUGCUCAUGCUAAACAUGCUCUCUUAUCAAUUGAGGCACAGUGCAAACCCUACAUACAAUAUAUUGUCAUAACUGCUGUGUUUAUCACUGCUACUCUCCCACUAUUCCUAAUUUAGAAGCUAGACUUUAUCAGUAGGAUGAAUGGAAGAUCAAAGUCCUCCUCAACUACCCAGUGUUUGAGGCCAGCCUGGGAUACAUGAGACCAUAUCUUAUGAAGACAUUCCUCUUCAGUAACUUGACAAAGGCUAUUAGUAUUUCUGUAACAGCCAGAAAGAAAAGCUACCAGGAGCGGGGACACUGUACCUUACUUACUGUUAACUGACACUGAGGAUCAGAGGUGAGCUCGGACUCCAGCAGGCAGUUAUCUGCUCAUUGGUAUAGGCAGUCGUGGGCUUCAGAAUACACAGGGGUAUCGCUCAAUUGACCUGGAUGACAGAGGAGCCAGAGGGCAGCCAGGACAAUAAAAAGCAAGCCCAAGACGAUAUGAGGUUGUAGCAGUGGAGAAGGAGUAAUUCCAAAUGUUGCUCCUGAGGGAUCUCCACAAAGAACUGGUGAAGCACGUGCUGGAGAGGCAGGAGGCAGCCAUGAGUGGUGCUGAUGGUGACCCCACUAGGCUCAGGGCUGUUCACAAGUCCGUAGAUGGCACUGUUUCUGUAGGUGAUCAACACAUGUGGGUAAUGUAUGACGCACAAAUCACAUCAAACCCAACACCAGGACGUAAAUCUGCAUUGGCAAUUUUUAAUGUCUCACUUGUGCAGAACUGAAAUGUGUUUUUAAAGGCACAGAAGGAAGGAAAGGCAGUUGUCUGAGCAUGAAGUCACGGGAAAGGGUGCUGGAGAGAAACCGUGGGCUGCUCUGCGUAGCUGUAGGAAAUGAACAAUGCGGUGCCGAAUGAGAGCUGGCGCUACUGUGGUCCAAGUGCAGGCAUCGCUCACACGUCAGUCGGCAGAGCGCAGAUACCACAGUGCACAGUCGAUCACUGUGGAGUGAAUGCCCAGGAGGUGCUCGAUGCCAGUGACCAGGAGCUGCAGGCGCAGUGUGGUCCUCAUUCAGGACGUGGACAGACAUUCGAAGCAGUCAAGCACAUACCUUUUCCUACCAGAAAUCACUUUCUCUGCAAGUAAACAACUGUCUGCCUACCGAGAAUUAUAAUUUUAAAAAAUGGAGUUGGGUCUAAUUAUAAUUUGUGAAUAAAAAAAUUACAAAAAUAAAAGCAGAGACUUCUGUCCUUGAAAAAAGAGAUAGAAAACUAGAUUUUCCUGUAAUAAGAAAAUCAUGAAUAUUUCACCUUUAUGUCUUUUCAAACGUCAUCUCUUCUUUUUUUUAUAUUCUGCCAUAAUUCACAUUGGGAGAUGUAUACACUAUGGCAACUUCUGUGGAGUAAAAGGAUGUACUAUUAUUUACUGGGAAAAAAUGAAUGAGGAAAGGCUAGAUUGUUCCUGAUAAGGCUGGUGGAAGGAGGAUGAAAACUGUGACUGACUGCUACUCCCCUCCUUUGAGACAGCAUCUCAGAGUCCUGGCUGGCCUGGAACUCGCUCUGUAGGGCAGGCUUGGCCUCAGCUCACAGGUCCACCUGCCUCUGCCUCAACCGCUGAGAUUAAAUGUAGGUGUUGCCAGCCUGGUUUAAAAUGAAGACCUUCUUCAAAGCAAACCCAAACUCAGUGAUUUAAAAGGUUUCUAAUUUCAAGCACUAUUAACAAUUCCUAAGCUGUAUGUGGUGGCUCACACCUGCAAUCCCAACAUUAGGAAGACUGAGGCAGGAGGCAUGGGUUCUAGGCCACCUUGUGCUAAAGAAUGAGUUUGGGGCCAGCAAGGACUAGAGUGAGACCUUAUGUCAAUUAAAAAAAAAAAAAA
rnacentral:sRNA from 1 species